rnacentral:rRNA from 1 species
CUGGCUCAGAUUGAACGCUAUCGGGAUGCUUUACACAUGCAAGUCUUAGAGGCCCGGAGUCCUGCUUCUUGCGCAGGCGUGACACUCAUUAUAUAUCGGACAUUCGCCCUUAGUGCGGGAUAACUACUACAAGGGUAAUCCCAUAUCCUAGGUCAAAGGGGGUGCAACCUUCUCUAGGGAAUGUUUUUGGGUAAUGCUCAUGCUCUAUUCAGGGGCCCCACAGUGGUGAGCGCCCCCACUCUGGCCGCGUCCGAAUUUCAAUGCGAACCUAUCCGCCCUCGGUUAUCAUGAAGCCCUCGUUAAAUUUGGUAGAGAAGAGAAUUCUUCAGGGAGUAUGACGGUAUCGCAGAAAAGCCCCGGCUAACUUCGUGCCAGCAGCCGCGGUAAUACGAGGGGCAAGCGUUAUCGGAAUUACUGGGCGUAAAGGUGGUAGGCGGUCGUUAAGUCAGAUGUGAAAUCCCAGGGCUCAACCUGGAACUGCAUUUUACUGCCGAUCUAUGAGUAUGUCAGAGGUUGUGAAUUCCAGUGUAGCAGGUGAAAUUCGUAGAUAUUGGAGAAUCACCCAGUGGCGAAGGGCAGACCACCUGGCUCAUACUACCGUCAAGCGCAAGA